rnacentral:lncRNA from 1 species
GCCCCGACCCCCACAAUAAAGGAAGAAGAGAAACUGGUGAAUUCAGACACGUUAGAGACUCUAGUUACACACAUUAUCUCUUUGAACCCUCACAAGAGGCGUAUGAGAUGGCAUUUAGGAGCCCAUCCUAGAAAUAAGAUGAAACUAGGGCAGUGGUUCUUGACUCUGGCUAUACUUUGGAUCAAUAGAGUGCAACCUGGAUGAAUUUAAUGAGAAUUUCUGGGAGCGGCACCCAAGCAUCAAUAUUUUUUUGUAAGUUCCUCAGAUGAUUGCUAUGUGCAGCCAAGGUUUCCUACGGCUGAGCUAGAGUUUAGGAAAUGAAAUUAUCCAGAAUCAGUGACAGUCCAUUGACCUGCCCCAUUUUCUCCCUUUGGCAGGUAAAGUUUAUUUGGCUCAAUAGAAAGAGUAUUCUCUACAGGAAGCUCUGUCUCAAACAGAGUUAAGUGUGGGUAAACCGAUGCCCAUAAGCUUCUAGGAUGUGGGAGUCAGGAUGAGUUGUCGGGAGCCAAGAUGGUGGUGCCCCCUGGUCAUGCACCUAGUUGGAAUGCUGCCUCUUAGGCAACCAAAAUAUGUUUCGCUUUAUACCAGAAUUCAAGUGUCUGGAAUUAGAGCCACGGGGGAGCCCUCACAGUACGCAGGGCACACCUCCACACUGCCCGAAUUCCUCCUCUUUCGUAACACAGGAUUCUAUUACUGGCUGCGUGAAUGGGUGGGCUGCUUUGGGAAGUUCGUCCCGUGA